UUCCUCGUCGACUCAAGCUUUCUGCUGAUCACUACUUUCUCGCCGACUGACUGCUUUCUCGUCAACUGCUUUCUCGUUGACUUUUCUUCUUGUAUCUCGAUGGCAUCGUGUAUCUAACCGACUCUGCUGCUCGUAUCUCGCCGACUCUGCUGCUCUCUCCCAAAAGACGCAUGCGCCACCAGAUAAUUACUUGAGGCGGAAACCAUGUUAGAUCCCCGAGCGACCAAAUCACAGAAAUUUGUGAGAUUGUUGUUGUUUACGGAAAAACGGCAGAUGAUUUAUGUUCUUGUUACCUUUGCAAAGAGAAGAAGUCAUGUUACUUUCAUAGAAUUCAGAAUAACAUCUCCAUCUUUUGUAUGCCUAAAAUGAUUUAUGUUCACCAAUGAUUUACAAAUUUCCUCUUUUCAAUUUCGAGAUUUCUGUCUUUGCAAAGAUAACUCAUUUUCUAUGAACCAAAUGAAAUAGUUAUGGUCUUGUGUUAAAUGUAUAUUGGUAAUGACAAGUGAUACAUGAACUUGACUCUUUUCUGCAACAAUCUUGUUUAGUGGAACUAGGAUUUGAACUACCAUUCCAUAAUAUGAUGUACAGUUAGCAAUCUUAAUGUUGCGUAUGAUUUUAAGUUUUCAUGUUAGUUAUUUGUCUAUCAACCAUGAAUGUCUACCUUUUACAGGCUUCUCUUGCCAGCAUUGCUUAUAGUCAUCAAUGAUCUUGCUGCAUAUAUUUUUGGAUUCUUUUUUUUAGGAGAACACCACUGAUCAAACUAUCUCCAAAGAAAACCUGAGGGUUUUAUUGGUGCAUCAGUUAUCGCAUUAUUUGCUUUGUUUGUGGUGAAUGAAUACAAUUCCCUUCUUUGCUGGUCACAUGUUUUAUCUUGAUUCUCAUUUGUUAUCUUUUUGUCAUGUGUUGAUAGUUUACGUCAUGCAGUCUGGAGAUUUCUCAUAACUGUUGUUAGCAUUAAUUGAGUUAUUUCUUUAUUUAGUGUAUA